rnacentral:piRNA from 1 species
CCAUUUCUACCAUCUGAAUGUUGUGUUC